UACGGAGGGGGCUAGCGUUGUUCGGAAUUACUGGGCGUAAAGCGCGCGUAGGCGGCUUAUCAAGUUAGGGGUGAAAGCCCGAAGCUCAACUUCGGAAUUGCCUUUAAAACUGCAAAGCUAGAAUCAUGGAGAGGUUAGUGGAAUUCCGAGUGUAGAGGUGAAAUUCGUAGAUAUUCGGAAGAACACCAGUGGCGAAGGCGACUAACUGGACAUGUAUUGACGCUGAGGUGCGAAAGCGUGGGGAGCAAACAGG
rnacentral:rRNA from 1 species